UUUUAUGCUGAUGCUGCUUUACACACCAGCCCCUGGAGUGUCCACAGGGCAGAGCUCCAUGGCCAGCAUCUGACUGUGGAACAACACAGGGAGAAACAAGCAAGACAAGUCCUGAGGGUUCCCUUGGUCCGUGGCCAAAGUUCUUCUGGAGAGUGUCGGGGCUGGUCCCGCCUGCAGAGGGGCGUUUCCUGCAGGGGCUGCUCUGAACAGGCACCCAGAGAUGCUGCAGCCCGGACAGAGCCCACUGACAUCCCAAAAAUAGCCCAAGAACAGCUGGCAUUGCCUGGGAAUGUCGGCACGUUGGGUUUGCAGAGGAGCUCAGACAGCAAUUCCUGGUGCCCAGCUCCUGGAGCUCCCACACACCCACCAGGUAUGUCCCAGCCACCCCAAUCCCUUCCCUUCCAGCCUGGGGACAGCCUCCAGCAGCAGCGUUAAAGCCAAGGGAAUUUCCCUCACAGAAAUUCAAUCCCAAGCAAUGCCCUCGGAGAUGCCGUAAAAUAAAAGUGACAAGAACAUGAACUCACAACCAUUAAGGCCUGGCAGUCCCCUGCAGUGAGAGCUCAGCACACAUCCAGAGGCAAUUCCAGCAUCUGAAAGGAAGAAAGGAAGAAGAAAAAGGCACCUUUGCAAUCAAACUCUGAAGCUGACAAGCCCAAAAGCUCUGGAGUCUGUCUGCUCUGGAACAAAAGGAUACUCCCAGGGAUGAGGCACAUUCCCAGCAAACGCUCCCAACACGGCACAGGGGCACCACUGGAGCUCGUGUUGGGGCUGGGAAGGGCUGCCAGGAGGACACAGCCCCCAGCUGGGGUGGCAGUGGCAGUGACAGCAGCAAAUUCCCACAGCCUGAUGGCACAGCAGAGGGACAAAGGCCAGCAAUGGCCACGGGAGCUGCAGGUUUCAUUCUGCUCCCUGCGCUGCCACAUCCCGGCAGGAAAUCUCCAGGGGGGACAGAAACUCCCUGGGUGCACAAAGUGCAGCAUCUGUGCCCCUGAUCCUGCUGAAACUCAGAGUGUGGGGCCGACCCCCCAAGGUAAACACUGCCCUGCCUGCAUCAGCCUCAGCCACUGCCCCAGUUCUCAGCUCCCACUGCUCCAGGGCUGCCCCACAUUCCUGACCAGGAGCCAAAGGCCCCUUUGGACAGGGCUCUCUCUGUGUCUCAGGCCUUGGGGACUGCAGGGACCAGGGCAAGGACAGCCUGAAACCAGGGCAGAUCCCUCUGGGGACAACUGGGGACUCACCCCACACC